AUACCUGGCAGGGGAGAUACCAGGAUCAAGAAGAUGCGCGGCUUAUCCACUGCACACCAGAUGUGCUGACCCCUGUGAUUUCUCCAGAUGUGCUGACCCCUGCAGUUUCUCCAGAUGCAGGGAAACUGCAUAAUUUGUGGUAGUGGGGGAAUUGAAUUUAUGUUCUCCCCUG
rnacentral:snRNA from 1 species